UACGUAGGGUGCAAGCGUUAUUCGGAAUUACUGGGCGUAAAGCGUGCGCAGGCGGUGAUGUAAGACAGGUGUGAAAUCCCCGGGCUUAACCUGGGAACUGCAUUUGUGACUGCCUCGCUGGAGUGCGGCAGAGGGGGAUGGAAUUCCGCGUGUAGCAGUGAAAUGCGUAGAUAUGCGGAGGAACACCGAUGGCGAAGGCAAUCCCCUGGGCCUGCACUGACGCUCAUGCACGAAAGCGUGGGGAGCAAACAGG
rnacentral:rRNA from 1 species